CUGGCGCUACGGCGGGUACCACACAGAGGCAAAAGCAGAGAAAAAAAUUCAGCGAUGUGUGUGCAAAGUCACACGGCAGGGCCGAGGUCGAAUGGAGACUGCGUGAAGCGCUUUGUGAUGCCACGGCUUGGCACAGCAGGACUGUAGGCACUGCCUACCACCGCCAUAAGGGCUGGAGGGAAGAGGAGGACCACAACCGAGGCGCAGGACUCUUGACCGACAUGUCCAGGGUCUCUGCCGCCUUCCCCUUCAGGCGUCGCAUUUUCUUUCCUGGCAGCUGCUUAAGUAUUGGAAACAGAACUAGCGUCCGUGCUGGAGAUGGUCCAGGUGGCCCUCAGAUGUAACAGCAGUUUCCAGCAAGACCAGCACCACCAACAGCCUGGUGAGUUAGAAUGGCUGGUGUUUCCAUAAUCCUGGGCAAUGCUUGAACCAGAAAUGGAAGAAAGACUGGGCAGCUCUUUCUGGAAGAUAAAGAGUGCCCAUGUGAGCCGCUUGGAAAAUGCUUUUUAAUCUUUUUGGUAGAACUGCAAGAGUCCAGGUAUGUUUUAUAUUUCCUCUCCCUUUAGUAGGGCGGCUGGUAACUCGUUUCAUAUAUACAUAUUCAUAUUUGCUAUAUUAUGGAAGGGUUAAGAAUUAGGGGAAAUUGAGUGAGACCAUUGUUUCUAAAUUUUAGUUUUCUUCAUCCUGGG